rnacentral:rRNA from 1 species
GCGCGAAAACUUUACAAUGCGGGAAACCGUGAUAAGGGGACGACCGAGUGCCAGCAUCAUAUGCUGGCUGUCCGGGUGUGUAAAAUACACCCGUUAGCAAGGGCCGGGCAAGACCGGUGCCAGCCGCCGCGGUAACACCGGCGGCCCGAGUGGUGAUCGUGAUUAUUGGGUCUAAAGGGUCCGUAGCCGGUUUGGUCAGUCCUCCGGGAAAUCUGAUAGCUCAACUAUUAGGCUUUCGGGGGAUACUGCCAGGCUUGGAACCGGGAGAGGUAAGAGGUACUACAGGGGUAGGAGUGAAAUCUUGUAAUCCCUGUGGGACCACCUGUGGCGAAGGCGUCUUACCAGAACGGGUUCGACGGUGAGGGACGAAAGCUAGGGGGCACGAACCGGAUUAGAUACCCGGGUAGUCCCAGCCGUAAACGAUAGCGCGUUAGGUGUGUCAGUGACCACGUGUCACUGAUUUGCCGAAGGGAACCGUGAAACGCGCCGCCUGGGAAGUACGGUCGCAAGGCUGAAACUUAAAGGAUUGGCGGGGAGCGACCACAAC